AUUGAACGCUGGCGGCACGCUUUACACAUGCAAGUCGAACGGUAACAGGUUAAGCUGACGAGUGGCGAACGGGUGAGUAAUGCAUCGGAACGUGCCCGGUCGUGGGGGAUAACGCAGCGAAAGCUGCGCUAAUACCGCAUACGAUCUGAGGAUGAAAGCGGGGGACCGUAAGGCCUCGCGCGAUCGGAGCGGCCGAUGUCAGAUUAGGUAGUUGGUGGGUGAAAGGCUCACCAAGCCAACGAUCUGUAGCUGGUCUGAGAGGACGACCAGCCACACUGGGACGGAGACACGGCCCAGAGUCCUACGGGAGGCAGCAGUGGGGAAUUUUGGACAAUGGGCGAAAGCCUGAUCCAGCAAUGCCGCGUGCAGGAAGAAGGCCUUCGGGUUGUAAACUGCUUUUGUACGGAGCGAAAAGGUCUCCUCUAAUAAAGAGGGUUCAUGACGGUACCGUAAGAAUAAGCACCGGCUAACUACGUGCCAGCCGCCGCCGUAA
rnacentral:rRNA from 1 species